CAGCCGCGGUAAUACCAGCUCCGCUAGCGUAUACUAAAGUUGUUGCUGUUAAAAAGCUCGUAGUUGGAUUUCAGGGGGAUUGGCAUGGCCCGGGCGUGUUUUACGUCUGAGCGCCAAGGCUUCGCCGAGCCGAUUCCCCUUACUUCAGGAACGCCGGUCUGCCCAUUAACUUGGCUGGGCCGUUGGUCCUGAUCCUUUACUUUGAGAAAAUUAAAGUGCUCAAAGCAGGCUAUCGCCUGAAUGCAUUAGCAUGGAAUAAUAAAACAAGACUUUGG
rnacentral:rRNA from 1 species